rnacentral:rRNA from 1 species
AACGAACGCUGGCGGCGUGCCUAACACAUGCAAGUCGAGCGAGAAAGCCCGCAAGGGUGAGUAAAGCGGCGCACGGGUGCGUAACACGUGGGUAAUCUGCCCUAGAGUCCGGAAUAACUCGCCGAAAGGCGUGCUAAUGCCGGAUGAGACCACGGGAGCUUCGGCUCCUGGGGGAAAAGGUGGCCUCUGUAUACAAGCUAUCGCUCUAGGAUGAGCCCGCGGCCCAUCAGCUCGUUGGCGGGGUAAUGGCCCACCAAGGCUACGACGGGUAGCUGGUCUGAGAGGACGAUCAGCCACACUGGAACUGAGACACGGUCCAGACUCCUACGGGAGGCAGCAGUGGGGAAUCUUGCGCAAUGGGCGAAAGCCUGACGCAGCAACGCCGCGUGUGUGAUGAAGGUCUUCGGAUCGUAAAGCACUGUCGCGAGGGACGAAUAAGGGGCGGGCUAACAUCCCGUUCCGAUGACGGUACCUCGAGAGGAAGCACCGGCUAACUCUGUGCCAGCAGCCGCGGUAAAAC